UCUAAAGGUCGCCUGUGCAUGUAUCUAUCCAUGUGUCCCCCUCUAAUUCCCUCGCCUGUGCAUGUAUCUAUCCAUGUGUCCCCCUCUAAAGGUGGCCUGUGCAUGUAUCUAUCCAUGUGUCUCCCUCUAAUUCCCUUGCCUGUGCAUGUAUCUAUCCAUGUGUCCCCCUCUAAAGGUCGCCUGUGCAUGUAUCUAUCCAUGUGUCUCCCUCUAAGUCCCUCGCCUGUGCAUG